GGCGGCGUGGAUUAGGCAUGCAAGUCGCGCGAGAAAUCAAUUAGCUUGCUAAGAGAUGGACAGCGGCGAAAGGGAGAGUAAUACGUAGAAAUCUACCCCUUGGUCUGGGAUAGCGUCGGGAAACUGACGGUAAUACCAGAUAAAGUUUUCGAACCAAAGGUGUGAUUCCGCCGGGGGAUGAGUCUACGUGCUAUUAGCUAGUUGGUGAGGUAAUGGCCCACCAAGGCAACGAUGGCUAGCGGGUGUGAGAGCAUGACCCGCCUCACUGGGACUGAGACACUGCCCAGACACCUACGGGUGGCUGCAGUCGAGAAUCUUUGUCAAUGGACGAAAGUCUGAACAAGCGACGCCGCGUGCGGGAUGAAGGCCUUCGGGUUGUAAACCGCUGUCGUAGGGGAACAAAUGUAUUGAGGUACUCCUCUUUACUUGAGUGAUCCUAGGAGGAAGGACGGCUUAAGUUCGUGCCAGCAGCCGCGGUAAGACGAACCGUCCAAACGUUAUUCGGUAUCACUGGGCUUAAAGAGUUCGUAGGCGGCCAUGUAGGUCAGAUGUGAAUCCCACGGCUCAACCGUGGAACUGCGUUUGAAACCACAUGGCUUGAGGGAGAUAGAGGUGAGCGGAACAGAUGGUGGAGCGGUGAAAUGCGUUGAUAUCAUCUGGAACACCGGUGGCGAAGCGGCUCACUGGAUCUCUUCUGACGCUGAGGAACGAAAGCUAGGGUAGCGAACGGAUUAGAUACCCGGUGGUCCUAGCCGUAACGAUGAGCACUAGUCCUGGGAACU
rnacentral:rRNA from 1 species